rnacentral:lncRNA from 1 species
GAGCGGCCUCCGAAGCGGAGCGGGGCUCUGAGGAGACACUUUUUCUUCCUCCCUCCUUCCCUCCUCUCCUCCUGCCUUCCCUUCCCCUUUCCUCCCCUCUCUCCUCCUUCUCCCCUCGGUCAGCCGGAGCCUGCUGGGGCGAGCGGUUGGUAUUGCAGGCGCUUACUCUCCGGGGCCGCCCGGCGAGUAGCUGGCCGGGGAAGGAGGCAGGAACCGCGAUGGCGCCUCAGAAGCACGGCGGUGGGGGAGGGGGCGGCUCGGGGCCCAGCGCGGGGUCCGGGGGAGGCGGCUUCGGGGGUUCGGCGGCGACGGCUUCGAGCGGCAAAUCCGGCGGCGGGGGCUGUGGAGGCGGUGGCAGUUACUCGGCCUCCUCCUCCUCCGCGGCGUUACCGGUGAAGAAGUCGAAAAUGGAGCACGUCCAGGCUGACCACGAGCUUUUCCUCCAGGCCUUUGAGACUUGUCAGCUCAUUUGCAGCUUACAUUUUUGGUUUCUUCCACAAAAAUGAUAAGCCAUCACCAAACUCAGAAAAUGAACAAAAUUCUGUUACCCUGGAAGUCCUGCUUGUGAAAGUUUGCCACAAAAAAAGAAAGGAUGUAUGUUGUCCAAUAAGGCAAGUUCCCACAGGUAAAAAGCAGGUGCCUUUGAAUCCUGACCUCAAUCAAACAAAACCUGGAAAUUUCCCGUCCCUUGCAGUUUCCAGUAAUGAAUUUGAACCUAGUAACAGCCACAUGGUGAAGUCUUACUCGUUGCUAUUUAGAGUGACUCGUCCAAGAAGAAGAGAGUUUAAUGGAAUGAUUAAUGGAGAAACCAUGAAAAUAUUGAUGUCAGUGAAGAGCUUCCAGCCAGAAGAAAAUGAAAUCGUGAGGAUGGGGAAAAGACAUUUGUUGCACAAAUGACAGUAUUUGAUAAAAACAGGUAAUGUUGAUGAACAAGCGAGGCUCCCACAAUGUUCUGGAAAUGUUUUCAUUCUGAAGCAGAAUAUAAUUAUUUAUAUUGAUUA